CUUUCUCUCUCUUUUCUUUUCUUUUUCUUCUCUUCUCCAGAACCUUCCCGACUCCCUCCUCUCUUCCCCCCUUUUCUCCUCCUCUCUUCUCCGACGAAGGGAGGACGACGAGCGGAGGGGAGGACGGCAAGCGGAGGGGGCCGGGCCACGACCGGCGGCGUCCGCGACCAGGCCCUGAGGCGUCCCCGGCCGAGCCUGCGGCGCUCUUGGCCGCGCCUGCGGUCGACGCUCGUGUCGACGGUGCUCGCGGCCGAAGCCGGCGGCCGCUGCACACGACGACGAGCCGGAAAAAAAAUAAGGAAGAAACAGAAUGAUCAGGGAGCUUACCUGGGGAUGAACUGCGGUGCCUCCUGCUCCGGUGCUUCAGCCAUCGUCCUAGAAAGUCCUUGGGGAGGAAGGAGAGCGGUAAGGCUCUUUUAGGUGGGGUGAGGUGUCACCCCCAGCUUUCCCCUGAAGGACCUAACACCUGGGCCUUCCUCUGAUCCCCACCUGGCCCUAGUCCCCUGGACCACCGCCAUCGCGCGCGACCUCGCCGUCCCCCUCCUCUCCUUCCACGCCCUCGGCCUCUUCCCCGUCUGCGUCAUGGGCGCCUUCCGCUGCCUCUCCCAAGUCCCACCUCGCUGUCUCCAGCGAUGACGACCCCUUUCUUGUCCCUUACGUUCCCCACCCCAUCCAUAUGGUCCGGCGCGAGCUCCCCGACUUCCUCCGCGGCGACAGCCCCAUCACCGCCGCCAUGGACGACCUCAGUGAAGGCGAAUCCGGAAGCCUCGGUGUCGUUUUUCAACAGUUUCGCCGAGAUCGAGUCCGCCUACGCCGACCUCUACUUCAAAGUCGACCGCAUGCGGUCCUGGUUCGUGGGGCCCGUCGCGCUCGCCUCAGCCAACGCCGGUGACCUCGCCGCCCGCGGGGGCGACGACCCAGCCGCCGCUGCCAACCGCUAGCGCUGCCUCUUCUGGCUUGGCACCAAGAAACCAAAGUCGGUGGUGUAUGUCUGCUUCGGAAGCUGGAGCCACUUCUCCGGCGAGCAACUGAAGGGCAUGGCAUUGGGGUUGAAGUUGGCCUGGCACCCGGUUGUUUGGGUGGUGAGCGAGGCCGCCGGCGAGGGGUGGAUGCCGGAGGGGUUCGAGAGGCGGUUGGAGGGGAGGGGUCUGGUGAUAAGGGGGUGGCCCCUUAGGUAGGGGUUCAGCUGCGAGAUGGUGAAGCAAAUCUUUAGUAGGAGCUAAAUCAUCUGAACAAGGGAAGAUAUAGCUAUAGUAGGGUUGAAUAAGAAAGUAAAAUAGGCCAAAUUUUGGUCA